UGGGGAAUAUUGCACAAUGGGGGAAACCCUGAUGCAGCGACGCCGCGUGAGCGAAGAAGGUUUUCGAAUCGUAAAGCUCUGUCCUAUGAGAAGAUAAUGACGGUAUCAUAGGAGGAAGCCCCGGCUAAAUACGUGCCAGCAGCCGCGGUAAUACGUAUGGGGCGAGCGUUGUCCGGAAUUAUUGGGCGUAAAGGGUACGUAGGCGGUCUAUUAAGUCAGGUGUGAAAGCGUGAGGCUUAACCUCAUUAAGCACUUGAAACUGAUAGACUUGAGGGAAGGAGAGGAAAGUGGAAUUCCUAGUGUAGCGGUGAAAUGCGUAGAUAUUAGGAGGAAUACCGGUGGCGAAGGCGACUUUCUGGACUUUUACUGACGCUCAGGUACGAAAGCGUGGGGAGCAAACAGG
rnacentral:rRNA from 1 species